rnacentral:rRNA from 1 species
GAUGAACGCUGGCGGCGUGCCUAAUACAUGCAAGUCGAGCGAACAGACGAGGAGCUUGCUCCUCUGACGUUAGCGGCGGACGGGUGAGUAACACGUGGAUAACCUACCUAUAAGACUGGGAUAACUUCGGGAAACCGGAGCUAAUACCGGAUAAUAUAUUGAACCGCAUGGUUCAAUAGUGAAAGACGGUUUUGCUGUCACUUAUAGAUGGAUCCGCGCCGCAUUAGCUAGUUGGUAAGGUAACGGCUUACCAAGGCAACGAUGCGUAGCCGACCUGAGAGGGUGAUCGGCCACACUGGAACUGAGACACAGUCCAGACUCCUACGGGAGGCAGCAGUAGGGAAUCUUCCGCAAAGGGCGAAAGCUUGACGGAGCAACGCCGCGUGAGUGAUGAAGGUCUUCGGAUCGUAAAACUCUGUUAUUAGGGAAGAACAAAUGUGUAAGUAACUAUGCACGUCUUGACGGUACCUAAUCAGAAAGCCACGGCUAACUACGUG